rnacentral:rRNA from 1 species
UACGAGAGGCCCAAACGUUAUUCGGAAUUACUGGGCUUAAAGAGUUCGUAGGCGGCGCAGCAAGUAGGGUGUGAAAGCCCUCGGCUUAACCGAGGAAUUGCGCUCUAAACUGCUGUGCUUGAGGGACCUAGAGGUGAGCGGAACUGAUGGUGGAGCGGUGAAAUGCGCAGAUAUCGGGAGGAACACCAAUGGCGAAGGCAGCUCGCUGGGACGGUACUGACGCUGAGACGCGAAAGCGUGGGGAGCAAACAGG